rnacentral:tRNA from 1 species
UGGAGGAAUAGCGAAGUGGCUAAACGCGACGGACUGUAAAUCCGUUCCUUAGGGUUCAGUGGUUCGAAUCCACUUUCCUCCAUUUUAGGGGCAUAGUUUAAAGGUAGAACAACGGUCUCCAAAACCGUUGGUGUGGGUUCAAUUCCUGCUGCCCCUGCCAU